UACGAAGGGUGCAACCGUUGCUCGGAAUUAUUGGGCGUAAAGCGCACGUAGGCGGCUUUUCAAGUCGGAUGUGAAAUCCCUCGGCUUAACCAAGGAAGUGCAUCCGAAACUGGAGAGCUUGAGUACUUAAGAGGAUCGCGGAAUUCCCGGUGUAGAGGUGAAAUUCGUAGAUAUCGGGAGGAACACCAGUGGCGAAGGCGGCGAUCUGGGAAGAUACUGACGCUGAGGUGCGAAAGCGUGGGGAGCAAACAGG
rnacentral:rRNA from 1 species